rnacentral:rRNA from 1 species
UACGUAGGUGGCAAGCGUUGUCCGGAUUUACUGGGCGUAAAGGGAGCGUAGGCGGAUACUUAAGUGGGAUGUGAAAUACCUGGGCUUAACUUGGGUGCUGCAUUCCAAACUGGGUGUCUAGAGGGUUGGAGAGGAAAGUGGAGUUCCUAGUGUAGCGGUGAAAUGCGUAGAGAUUAGGAAGAACACCAGUGGCGAAGGCGACUUUCUGGACAAUAACUGACGCUGAGGCUCGAAAGCGUGGGGAGCAAACAGGAUUAGAUACCCUGGUAGUCCACGCCGUAAACGAUGGGUACUAGGUGUAGGAGGUAUCGACUCUUCCUGUGCCGCCGUUAACACAAUAAGUACCCCGCCUGGGGAGUACGGUCGCAAGAUUAAA